UACGAAGGGGGCUAGCGUUGUUCGGAAUUACUGGGCGUAAAGCGCGCGCAGGCGGUCCUUUAAGUCGGGGGUGAAAGCCCAGAGCUCAACUCUGGAACUGCCUUCGAAACUAGAGGACUUGGGUACGGGAGAGGUGAGUGGAAUUCCGAGUGUAGAGGUGAAAUUCGUAGAUAUUCGGAAGAACACCAGUGGCGAAGGCGGCUCACUGGCCCGAUACUGACGCUGAUGCACGAAAGCGUGGGGAGCAAACAGG
rnacentral:rRNA from 1 species